UACGAAGGGGGCUAGCGUUGCUCGGAAUUACUGGGCGUAAAGGGAGCGUAGGCGGACAGUUUAGUCAGAGGUGAAAGCCCAGGGCUCAACCUUGGAAUUGCCUUUGAUACUGGCUGUCUUGAGUACGGGAGAGGUGUGUGGAACUCCGAGUGUAGAGGUGAAAUUCGUAGAUAUUCGGAAGAACACCAGUGGCGAAGGCGACACACUGGCCCGUUACUGACGCUGAGGCUCGAAAGCGUGGGGAGCAAACGGG
rnacentral:rRNA from 1 species